CUCAUUUUCCCUCCUGGUCUGAGAUUUGGAAACUAACUCACCAAGGACAGAGAGGUGAGAGUUCACAGUGACAAUUAAUAGAGUCAAACACCCAAGUUCAUCAGCCUUGCACAAUGACAUAAUGAGUAGGAGAGCAAGAAAAGUGCCUUAGCUCAUACUUAACUAGAAACUGUUAAGGAAUCAUUAAAAUUACCCCUUUGAAUUCCACAGAAAGGACAUAGCUAGAAAGUGUUAGCAGAGGACAGCCGCCCAUGGCCCCAGACUCUGACAGUUAAUGGCUGUUUUUUUGCUAGGUAGCAGCUCCAUUCUGCCAGCUUCCCUCUCAUUUUUUUUUUUCAGUUUUUGACAAAAGAUCUUUCCUUCUAGGUCAAACUACAAUUUUCCCAGCAAGUCAGUGCUGGAGGAAGGUGUCUGACUUUAAUAUUUAUUAACAGAAACAGCAUUUCUAGAUUUACAAGACCCAAGAGAAAAGCUGCAUUUAACCAGGGCAGUCUCUCUUGUAGGAGUCUAUAAUCAGACUUAUCCCAGUGCACUUAUCCCAGGCACUUAUCCCAGUGCCUUCUCCCUGAGGUACCUUGGUUUAGGGUUCUAUCCAUGCAGUGCACUGUCCUCCCAAUUUCCCCCUUGAACAGAGUAGAGCAAAAUCUGCUAACAAGCAGUAAUUGAUACAGGCUGAUGGAUUUAGAAGAGUGGGACCAGCAGAGCUGCCAGGGGUCCCAUGUUCAAAGAAACCAUGGAGGAGACAUGUUUCUCAGCUCCAGCCAUGCACUAUAUCCUUUCCUCCACAUCUGCGCAAAUAAAAUCCCUUUCCAUGACACUAUUCAUAGGUCCAUCCUAAUACACAAUCUAGUGCCCCAGACAGAUACUGCCCCUCAACAUUUGACUGGAAAUAAAGGACGAACCCAUCUGACUCUUAUAUAAACCUUGAACCAUGGCAGGGGCUACCUAUAGCUGUUUGAAUCACAGAAACCAUUCUGAUGUGGAAACCAUUUACACCCAAGAGCACUAUGGUAAAUGAUUGUUUGAGGCUGUUUGAGCAUCAAAGCCUCAAUUCGCUGUUUGUGGUACCAAAACACUGGCUGAGACCAAAAUACUGGCCCUCACACAGAAACCAUGUCCAUCAACACGACAAGACAGGGUUUUGUUUUCUGUCCCCAUCCCUUGUAUCAUGACUUCUCUUUAUCCCAGUCCAUUGAAUAAAGGCUUCAAAACUUUUACAAUUCAUAAGCAUGAGUACUUUGUUUCCACUAAAAUUAGGAAGAUCUCUAUUUUUAAUGACUUACAUGUUGUGGCAGCAACUUGAAACUAAUGAGUUACAGAACAGAGGUUGGUGGCGGAGACCUUCCAAAUUUGCAGUGUACCCAAUUAUACUAACAGUCUGGGUAGCAACAAGUGAAUUAUUCCAACAGAAAAUAAACCAGCAUAAUUGUUUUCCUGCAAUUUUUACAUAAAAUAUCCCUUAUUUUUUAAAAAUAAAUUUCUUCUUUCCUUUACCAUAGUUUCCUAUUGAGGAGAAGCUUGAUCUGCACCUGAUCAGUUUUUUGUAGCCACUAGAAGAGAGAGAACACAUUGUUUAUAGGUGGAUUAAGCUGCCUGUUUCCUCACAUAUUUUCUCCUCUGACCCACCUUUAGAAAAGAAACUUGCACAAGGGCUUUUUCAUGGACACAGUCAGCAGUGUUAACUUUCUGUGUGGAUAGGUUGCUACAAACCCUGAUCUGAUACAGCUCAGAUUAGCUGUCAUCUUUUUGCUCAUCUAUGUUCUAAAACCCACAGCAGAAACACAGCAGGUCACAGGAGAAAAAAAAGAGCUCCCUGACAGCACAGCUCCAGAGCUUCCUCACACAGACUUUGCUGAGCACAGAGCCUUCAAGUAUUCCAGCAGUAAGUGGUCACUCAAAGAGGCCAAUGACUGUGGUCCUUUAGGAGUCCCAGUGAUAUACUUUGGCAUCCCCAAACAGCCCCAGACCAUGGCAUCUUGCCAUGCACGCCUCUAAGCAGCAAGGCCUGACGUGAGCAACACCUUCAGCGCCAGGAACACACGGACUGUGCUCAACCCCAGCUUGGGACCUUGCAGUACCAUGACCUGAGAAGAACUCUGCAACACCCUGGAUUUUGGGCAGCAUUUUUAUCCCAGAUGUAGCAGGGCAUUUCCCUGCCACCACCACGCCUACCACCACCCCUGGGUGCAACCCCCUGCCCUGGUGUAGUGUGAGUUCACUCCAGCAAAGAAUGUGCAAUUGAGAUAUGCAGUUCAGAUCCAGGAGUAGAAUACUGUCUUUGAUUUAUGAAACAUAUACACAAAAUGAGCCCGCAAUGUGAUUUGUAUUGUUUGUGCAUAUACUAUUUUCCUACUAUCAACAUAGGCUUAUGCAUAUAAUUUCAUUUGUUUUGGUUGGGUUUUUUUCAUUUGAAAAAUCCUUUUCAGCUCCUACUCCACAACACCUUCCUGUCUCUUUCUUUCUCUUAAUAAAUUCAAAUGUGUGUGCACAUGGUUGUGCAGAUAAAUGUGCACACUCAAAGCCUCUAUUCAGCCUUUCUGUGUUUCACAGGGGCUCCCAAGCAAUGCAUUUCCUAUUGCCCAGCUCCAGCAUCUCAGGAGCUGGAGCUCUCUCUGUUUGCAUGUGAGUUACUUCUAGAUAAGAUUUUCUCCAUCAUAUGAGAAAUAUUUCUGAUUAUGUUUCCUGCAGCACUAGGAAUGUCAGGUUAGAAGGGACUUCAGGGAUGAUGUUAUUAUUACUACCUCCAUCACAUAACAACUUUAAAAAACUCAUGAUAUCCCAUUCUUGAGGCUCUACUGGUUACCAGAGAACUUAAAAAAUUGUAAUCAGCCAAAUAAUUUUUAAGAGGCAAACCCAUUUCAUACCAGCAUUAAAUUCAACCAACGUGCCUUUUACAGACUCUUAUUAGGAAGGCAAAAGUAUUUUUGGUUGUCAGUGCAUUUUUGCGUGUUAUACCAUGUCCAGAAUCUAGGAAAUCCUGGAUCUACUUGACAAAUGUUUGAACACUGGGUGUUCAAGCCAAAUAGGUUACUAAGAAAUAUGGGAGUUUUGUACGCAACAUUAUAAACAAUAGUGAAAAAUGUUAUUUUGGCUAGCAAACAAAAUAGAAACAGAAACAAAAAGUCUAUGCUUUAUAAAGUAUGGUAAAUUGUGGGUUAUGACAUUUCCUCUUUUGAUCCAAUGAAAUGGCUAAGAAGUAAAAUCUGGAUACUUUUAUUAUUGCUGCUUCAGUACAUGACAUGCUGUUAAACAUGAUCCCACUGUGACUGAAUUGUGUCCUGCAACAAAUCUAGUGAUGGGGAGGUUGAUCAAUGCCAUCUGCUUCCAGGACUGGAGAACUCCUGGUCUGAGAAUGCAGUACAGGCACAAAGAAAUGCAGUUCAGCCACAGGACUGAGCGGUGAAUGGUGUAGGGACAACUUAGGAAAGAAAGAGUCUUCAAGGUACAGAGUUUUAAAGGUGGAACUUGGCAGGUAGGAGCAGGGUAAAAGCUCCAAGGCUAGGAAUGAGUAAGAAAAAAACUAAAAUGGCUGUUGUUGGAAACUGAGACACAGGAAUCAAUAACGAAGUACAAUCAGAAAGGUAUGGCAUGAGAAACCCCAAAGAGAGGCGGAGGGGCUUCACCAACUUGGUUGUGCAAAAAUUGGAAGAAAUGUCACCUUCUGUCUGUUGUGUAUUCUGGAUGGUUGAAAAACAUCUUGAAGUCUUCCAGCAUUUCACAGGGAAAGAUUCUGGGAUUUUCCUUGGGGGUAUCAGAGGGGGGAGGGGUCCUUUUUCAUUUAACAUUUUUAGUAUUCAAAUUAGAAGACUUUCAGCAUCCUGGGGUGAGACUCAAAAGCCUUUCCCUAAGAAGCCUGGGAGCAUAUCAAAAAUCAAUGGCAUGGAGGAUGGAAAAAGUUUCAAAAAUGUGAGACUGGCAGGAAAUACUGGCACAUUUCUGUUUGAUAUUUACUUUCUUGGCAUGCAGUGGCUCUUUUAGCGCCAAUGGAAAAUCCUUCAGUGCCAAGCCACUCUCAGAUAAAUCUGCACACAAAAUACACUUUGAAUUGGCAUGUAGCUUUUGAGAUUAAGGUUUAACCCCUGCCAAAAUAUGUAUUUUUGGAUUCUAGCAUCUUUCUUAAGUAAGUUAGGCAACUUCAUAAUACUAAAAUGCUGCACAUGACCAAUUUGAAUUUGAUGCAUCUGAGCUCAGCAAAACCAAAUGAAUGGGGAAGAGAGAAGCCACCUGACGUGGAAGGAAAACCAACUAACUAAGGCUCUGAAUUAUGUACAGGCAUCAAAGAAAUCACAGCCUACAACCUACACAACCUAAACCUAAUCUCUGGAAAUGACUGAGUCCCAUUACAAGAGCAGAGGUGAUCUUCAUGUGAAUGGGGAAUAUGGAGAGGUUGAGGAAACAGAAGCAGACCUUUCAUCUAUUCCAGCUAAGCAAUUUUAAAGCCCCUUAUCCAUCCUUAUUAAAUCCAUGCUUGCACUAUAACCUACUCAAAACCAUACACUUUAAAGUUCAGCCUUCUACUGAAUAGUCUGUAUAACCCUCAAAGAAAAAAUAAACCUUUACGUUAUUCCAGAGUUCAUGGAUUUCAGCUCAGCCCACUGACAGCCCUGUCCCUAGGCUGGCCAAUGACUGGGUGGAGGUUUACUGCUGUCUCUCUCACUAAUGAAGCACUGAUGCAGGAAUAUCUCAGAUCAGCAGUGCUCCCUGCAGCAGUCUGGGAGCAAGUACGGGAGCUCCAGGUCAUGAAGGGAUUGAAUGUAACUGCUUUUCAAUAUAAUGAAGGUGCUCAUCUAUAUGGCACAAAAACAUGUCAUGGUCAGAGGCAUGGUUUGGACAUCAUUAUAAGUAGUGCCAUGAUCACUGAAUCACGAGGUAUGGUGGAGAUCAGGAGCCAAAGUCAGGUAGCACAAAGAAAAGUCUACUGACCAAGACAGUUAAGAGCUGUUAAAAACUGUGGGCAUGCAAAGUCUUCCGGUGUAAGGUAACAAAGUAAUAUUAACUUUUAAAAAAAUAAAUGGACAGUCUAUUCAAUAAAGUGCAGCACACCUUGUUUGUGCAAUUUGUCUCUUCUACUGUUAUUUUUCUUUGGCUUCAAAGCCAUUAAGUCAGAUUUUUACAGAGAAUCCUAAUACAGAGUCUCUAGACCAGUAUUUCUGGGUCUAACUAACUCAUGGACAAUGUCAGAUUCUAGAUUAUUCUGAUUGUCCUAUUGUAAAAUGACUUGAAAUCGUGGAUUUAUGAAAACAGGGAUAUCAGCUGUCAUCCCAGCUUUCCAGCAUUUGACAAACUUGCUUUUACCCUGUCAAUAAAAAUAGGUUGUUAUUAACAAAGUAGGAGCUCAAAAGAAUUGCUUGAAGCCUGUUUCUUAGAUACACAAUUUAUGGUAUUCAGACAAAUUCACCAAAAAUGUGUGGGGAAAAAAAAGGUUGUUUCAUAUAUUUUCAGAUCAGAGAACUCAUUAUUUAAAACACUGUCAGGUUGUCUUUCAUCUUCAGAGCUGGCAGGCAUAGAAAAACAUGUUGCAAAUAAAAGCAGCCUUCCAAAAUGUCAUACUGAUUAUGCAUUCACAAGUCAGCUAUUUGAGGCUCAGCUAGACAACAAAUAUCACAGGAGUCCACUACAUGUUUUAGCCUUUUCUACAUAUAUUGCCAAAACAGCCAUACCACAAUAGGCAUGACCCGUGACAGUAUUUCUUAACCUAUAAAUUUAAGUUUAUGUUAAUUUCUUUUGGUGGUUGAUAAAAUAUGGUAAAGACUGGCAUCAAGCUCCUAGUUUUUUAUCACACCACUUAUUUCACAGGACAUAUGUUGACAUAUUCUGUAAUUUUAUCCACUAUUUUUUCCCCACUAUUUCCCCAUGACAGUGACAGCAAUUUAUGACCAUCUGGCUCUAGGAAUCUAGAGAAACUAUUGUAAUAGAUGAUUAGACUUUUUUUUUGCAUGCAAGAUCUUCUUCAAAGUUGUGAGAUGUUCCCCCGUGUGUGCCUUUCCAACAUUAAUGAGGUGUUGAGCAAUAAAAGGAAUGCAUGUCAAAUUGUAA